CUCAUGGCCGUGGGAAAGGGUUUAAACGGCAUUUCAACCCGGGUUCUAAUCGCUCGUCUCCGCUCAGCUUCAGUGUGAAAGGCACAGCCGGGUCGACGCGCUGGUUUCCGUGAUGACGUCGCCGUAGUGUGGCUACGUUAGCAUGCUAGUAGCUUCUGGACACAGCCUGAGAAAUCCUUCAAGACGACCCAGCAUUGAUCAGAGAGCUUCUCUUCACCCGUAGGGAAGAGGAGAUCCGUCGACUCCUCUCCAUUGUUUACCUCGCUGUGCUCCGUCACGCUGAUGAUGUCAUCAACGUGGGACACCAUCAGCAGCUCUCCUGCAGGCGAUCAGACCCGGGUCUGCAGGCGGGGGAAAGGAGGCAAGUCUCUGAGUAUGGAGA